UAGCUAGUUGGUGAGGUAAAGGCUCACCAAGGCGACGAUCUGUAGCGGGUCUGAGAGGAUGAUCCGCCACACUGGAACUGAGACACGGUCCAGACUCCUACGGGAGGCAGCAGUGGGGAAUUUUGGACAAUGGGGGCAACCCUGAUCCAGCCAUGCCGCGUGAGUGAAGAAGGCCUUCGGGUUGUAAAGCUCUUUCGGCCGGGAAGAAAUCGUAUGGGUUAAUACCCUGUGCGGAUGACGGUACCGGCAUAAGAAGCACCGGCUAACUACGUGCCAGCAGCCGCGGUAAUACGUAGGGUGCGAGCGUUAAUCGGAAUUACUGGGCGUAAAGCGUGCGCAGGCGGUUUUGUAAGACAGGCGUGAAAUCCCCGGGCUCAACCUGGGAACUGCGCUUGUGACUGCAAGGCUAGAGUACGGCAGAGGGGGGUGGAAUUCCACGUGUAGCAGUGAAAUGCGUAGAGAUGUGGAGGAACACCAAUGGCGAAGGCAGCCCCCUGGGUCGAUACUGACGCUCAUGCACGAAAGCGUGGGUAGCAAACAGGAUUAGAUACCCUGGUAGUCCACGCCCUAAACGAUGUCAACUAGGUGUUGGGUGGGUAAAACCAUUUAGUACCGGAGCUAACGCGUGAAGUUGACCGCCUGGGGAGUACGGCCGCAAGGUUAAAACUCAAAGGAAUUGACGGGGACCCGCACAAGCGGUGGAUGAUGUGGAUUAAUUCGAUGCAACGCGAAAAACCUUACCUACCCUUGACAUGUCCAGGAGCCUGAAGAGAUUUGGGUGUGCCCGAAAGGGAACUGGAACACAGGUGCUGCAUGGCUGUCGUCAGCUCGUGUCGUGAGAUGUUGGGUUAAGUCCCGCAACGAGCGCAACCCUUGUCGUUAAUUGCCAUCAUUUAGUUGGGCACUUUAACGAGACUGCCGGUGACAAACCGGAGGAAGGUGGGGAUGACGUCAAGUCCUCAUGGCCCUUAUGGGUAGGGCUUCACACGUCAUACAAUGGUCGGUACAAAGGGUCGCCAACCCGCGAGGGGGAGCCAAUCCCAGAAAGCCGAUCGUAGUCCGGAUCGUAGGCUGCAACUCGCCUGCGUGAAGUCGGAAUCGCUAGUAAUCGUGGAUCAGCAUGUCACGGUGAAUACGUUCCCGGGUCUUGUACACACCGCCCGUCACACCAUGGGAGCGGGUUCCGCCAGAAGUAGGUAGCCUAACCGCAAGGGGGGCGCUUACCACGGCGGGGUUCGUGACUGGGGUGAAGUCGGAACAAGGUAGCCGUAGGGGAACCUGCGGCUG
rnacentral:rRNA from 1 species